AGAACGAACGCUGGCGGCACGCCUAACACAUGCAAGUCGAGCGAGACCUUCGGGUUUAGCGGCGGACGGGUUAGUAACGCGUGGGAACGUACCUUUUGCUUCGGAAUAGCCUCGGGAAACUGGGAGUAAUACCGAAUGUGCCCUUUGGGGGAAAGAUUUAUCGGCAAAAGAUCGGCCCGCGUCUGAUUAGAUAGUUGGUGGGUAAUGGCCUACCAAGUCUGCGAUCAGUAGCUGGUUUGAGAGGAUGAUCAGCAACACUGGGACUGAGACACGGCCCAGACUCCUACGGGAGGCAGCAGUGGGGAAUCUUAGACAAUGGCGCAAGCCUGAUCUAGCGAUGCCGCGUGAGUGACGAAGGCCUUAGGGUCGUAAAGCUCUUUCGCCAGGGAUGAUAAUGACAGUACCUGGUAAAGAACCCCGGCUAACCUCCGCGCCAGCAGCCGC
rnacentral:rRNA from 1 species